CCCCUCUCAGGAUCACACCUGGAAAGUUUCCCGUACUCUACCAGACUGGACUAUGGGAGGACGAUUCAAGCAGAGGCAUAUCUAUUUCAUUCCUAGCUUGGGCAGUGGCUAGCGAGUGGAAGGAAAUCUGCUACAAGU